CGUAAAGCGCAUGCAGGCGGCCUGUUAAGUCAGAUGUGAAAGCCCGGGGCUUAACCUCGGAAUUGCAUUUGAAACUGGCAGGCUAGAGUCUUGUAGAGGGGGUAGGAAUUUCAGGUGUAGCGGUGAAAUGCGUAGAGAUCUGAAGGAAUACCAGUGGCGAAGGCGGCCCCCUCGGACAAAGACUGACGCUCAGAUGCGAAAGCGUGGGGAGCAAACAGGAUUAGAUACCCUGGUAG
rnacentral:rRNA from 1 species